rnacentral:rRNA from 1 species
GAAGUAAAAGUCGUAACAAGGUCUCCGUAGGUGAACCUGCGGAGGGAUCAUUACUGAGUUAGGGAGCAAUCCCGACCUCCAACCCUUUGUGAACACAUCUUGUUGCUUCGAGGGCGACCCUGCCGUUCGCGGCAUUCCCCCCGGAGGUCAUCAAAACANUGCAUUCUUACGUCGGAGUAUAAAGUUAAUUUAAUAAAACUUUCAACAACGGAUCUCUUGGUUCUGGCAUCGAUGAGGAACGCAGCGAAAUGCGAUAAGUAAUGUGAAUUGCAGAAUUCAGUGAAUCAUCGAAUCUUUGAACGCACAUUGCGCCCCCUGGUAUUCCGGGGGGCAUGCCUGUUCGAGCGUCAUUUCACCACUCAAGCCUCGCUUGGUAUUGGGCGUCGCGAGUCUCUCGCGCGCCUUAAAGUCUCCGGCUGAGCGGUUCGUCUCCCAGCGUUGUGGCAACUAUUUCGCAGUGGAGUUCGAGUCGUCGCGGCCGUUAAAUCUUUCAAAGGUUGACCUCGGAUCAGGUAGGGAUACCCGCUGAACUUAAGCAUAUCAAUAAGCGGAGGA